rnacentral:ncRNA from 1 species
UACCUGGGUGAUCCUGCCAGUAGUCAUAUGCUUGUCUCUAACAUUAAUCCAUGCAUGUGUAAGUAUGAACUAAUUCAGACUGUGAAACUGCGAAUGGCUCAUUAAAUCAGUUAUAGUUUGUUUGAUGGUACCUGCUACUCGGAUAA